rnacentral:lncRNA from 1 species
UUGUUAUCAUAUGCUAAUUACCCAUAUCAUAUUUUAAUGACCACAUACUGUAGCCAUCGUGAUCAUAUAAACCUAAUAAAUUAUAAACAUCCGAAUGUAAAAUUUCGCACGAUAGAUAAUGACAAACAAACGACGGAAAUUACAUAAUAAAUUCACAGCGUGUGCAUUUGACUCUAUCUUAAUAUAUUUGUCAGUACAUAGAUAACCCGAAUAAUCCAGUCUUUAUAUUACGAUCACUUCGAUCACUCCAUGAACCAUUUCCUCGAGAAAAGUAGUGGAUAGGGGGCGCUGAAUUAUUCGAGUUAGUACAUGGAGGAAAGGUCUGUUUCAAAUGUUAUUCAAAGAUUAGGAGCGACGAUUCAAUGUCCGUUUGUGUAUUGUAUUUGUCGUGGUUGAAACGGCACCAGGAACAUAUCAGGAUAGACAACAGAAGUUUGUAAGUAUUUAUUUUAUGUAUUUAUAUAUUAACAUAGAUAUUAUAAGCCUUUCAUGCCUUCUGUUGACAAAUUUUCAUAACUAUGCACUGUUUUAGUAGACCACAGAUGUCCUUUUCGAACUAAAAGAACCUCCCUGAAAAAAACACACCUCAGUCGAAUCUUUCUUCUCAAAUGAAUGCCCGAAUGGUCAUCAAAUUAAUACUUGUUAUGGGCAGGCAUUUUCGAAUAAUUUUUAAAAAAAAUGUAUUAAUUCUGACUGCAAGGAAUUUUAAAUGGUAAAUAAUAUACAUUGUAUCUCGAGGGAAAUGUACACACUUUAACAACAGUAAAUUUUUCAUAAAUAUUAUAUAAAAUAGUAAAAGUGUAGCAUAUAUAUCAUGUGUAUUAACGAUUAAACUCUGGAAGAAAUAUAGUCCAGCAUGAAUACAAAUUAAAGGGUCCUUUCAGGAAAAAAAAUUCUCAGAAAGGUAUCUCUUUCUUCAGAGGUUUAUAUGAAACGUUGAUGUCUGUUGUGCAGUGAUUUUUUUUUUUUUCUGUAUGCGAGACAUCAUUAUAUUGCAACCAAAAACGAUGUGUUGAUGUCUGUUGUGCAGUGAUUUGGGUUUUUUUUUCGCCUGCGUAUGCAUGGCAUGGUAGGUAUUGCAACCAAAGCAAGCACGGCGGCGGCGACGAUGGUGUACACUAUUUGUUUGAAGCAUUAUAUUUUAUAAGUUAGACAAUCUAAAUGCUUCAUACCUUAUGUUACGAAAUUUCCGUCUGUCAUAUGUCAUUGUCCCGGCAACCUCAUUUUCAUGGUUCAGUAACUGCUUGAUACAUUUUGUUUUGUUAAAUGAAAAACUCACUUAUUAUGAGUAAUAUGAUAACUUUGUUUGGUAUAUGGGUUCCUAGCAACAUUUACAUGUUCGUCAGCUAGGUACAUGUAGGGUUAACCUGACCUCGACCUUAUUCCAUGGAUCAGUUAUCAAAAAUAAAGUAACUUAAGCAAGACCGUAUCUAGAUACUAUAACUAGUAAGUCAUCUAUAUUUGGUGUAUGGAUUAUUGAAAUGAUUGUAAGGUGUACAUAUCCACCCGACAGGUUCCGUCUGACCUUGGCCUCAAUUUCAUGGUUCAUUGGCCAAUGUAUAGUGUUUGUGGUUUGGUCUAUUUCUCAGAUACUUUAAGCAGUAGGACCACUAUAUAGGGUGUAUCAUGUAUGGAAUCAUUGUCAGCUGGAAAUGUCCGUCUGACAGGUCUCAAUUGACUUCGACUUCAUUUUUAUGGUUCAUUGGACAAUUUUUAGUUGUGUCAUACAUUGUAGUUGUGCAUUGAUAAAGUUAAGUAUACCUGAUAAUUGUACUAAAGACUUUCAAUAUGAUUUCAAUGAUAAGUAAGACAAAGGCGAGACAUUUGCACUCAUAUUUUGGUAAUAAAAUGUGUAAAGUGUUGACUAAAGUACAUGUACCUAAAUUUCAAUAUAUUUUUGUAUCAGAGUGCUGAACGCGCAUCUUUAACGUUUUGAGAGGAAAAUGAAUAUUUUGUUGAAGGGAGAAUGUGUUGGGUACAUUACUCACAUUUUUACCUGAGGAAGCUGCUGUUCCUUUUGGAACAUGUCUUACUUGUUUUCUGGUAUGUUAAAUGGGAUAGGUAAAAGUAUUGUUAACACCAGUCCUGUGUUUUGUUUAAGACUUAAUGAAACCUGAUUUUAAUUGUUAUUUGUGUAUUCAGUUCGCUGUCUCCUAGGCAUGAACCACUCAUCUGUUUUAAGACUCUAUGAUUGAUUGAUUGAUCAUGACUGGCUGAAUGUCCAAUGGCAAAUAUUACAUGCAUAUUCAGGAAGUUGGGAAUGAUACAUGCCAAUCCUGAUAAAAAUAAAGAAAUAUGCCUGAAGAAAAACAAUAACAGAGUAAGUGUUCCUGCAUUUUAAACUUCAAAUAUUUCUUGUAGAGUGAGAAAACUGUUAUGAAACACCAGCAAAAAAGACUAGAUUGUUAUUCAGUCCUGACUUAUUCAGUGUCUCUGAAGAUGAAGAUUAGGUAUGUAAUAAUGAGGUUUUAAUUUGAUAGAUUGUUGACUUUUAAAUUGUAAAAGUUUAAUGAGUUACUGUAAGUUAAUCCAUUUAUUGUAUAAAUUAAAAUUCAAUAAUUACUGUUCAAGUGCAUAGCAUAGCCAUCUUUAUCUUGCUGUAUCCAGAGGCAAUAGAUAUAAGAAGAUGUGGUAUAGGUGCCAAUGAGACAACUCUCCAUCCAAGUCACAAUUUAUAAGAGUAAAUCAUUAUAGGUCAAAGUACGGACUUCAACACAGAGGAAGACUAUUAUUAAUUACAAUAAAGAGAGUGAAUAAUAUUAUAUAAGCAAAAUGGACAUCAUAAGUAAGAUUAAAAGAAAGACAGACAAUUUCUUUAUCAAAGAUUAUAAAUUUUGGUAUGGUUACUAAAAAUAUUUGAAAUUGUUUUGAAUUUGUCGUUAUUUCUUUCAGAUCAGGCCUAUCCAGAAGCAAGAAAAAAGACAAUUUUUAGCACGUGCAUCUACAGAGAGAGACAUGUUUUAAAAAACAGAUAUAUUUUCAAUUUAAGAAAAACCUGUUGAACUUUUACUAUUUCUUAUCUGUUUAUUUUACAUUUAUAUAUUGAUAUUUUGUUUUUUUUUAAAUUGCUGCACAGUAUUUCUAUUCAGUCCCACAUAACAAAAUCAGCUGAAGAAAUUGAUGUUUUCAUAUUUCAAGGGAGUGUCCUUUUGCAUUGUUGAUAGCAGAUAUAUGCAUUGUCUUAAGUUGGGUUUAUAAACAGUCACAUCGCAACUUCAAAUAAAAUACAUUUUUAUGAAUCUUACAUGUAAAUAGACAUGAAAGAUAGAAAAUUAUAUAGGAACACAUUUUUUUCUGACCUAAAUGUAUUUUCAAGGUAAAAUUAUGUGAACAUAUCAAAUAUUAUCAAAAACACCGCUGGUUUAAAAUAAAAUUAUUCUAUGUAGCCUAAACAAAUCA